AUACGUAGGUGGCAAGCGUUAUCCGGAUUUACUGGGUGUAAAGGGCGCGUAGGCGGGGAUGCAAGUCAGAUGUGAAAUCUAUGGGCUUAACUCAUAAACUGCAUUUGAAACUGUGUCUCUUGAGUGCUGGAGAGGUAGACGGAAUUCCUUGUGUAGCGGUGAAAUGCGUAGAUAUAAGGAAGAACACCAGUGGCGAAGGCGGUCUACUGGACAGUAACUGACGCUGAGGCGCGAAAGCGUGGGGAGCAAACAGGAUUAGAUACCCUGGUAGUCCACGCUGUAAACGAUGAAUACUAGGUGUGGGGGGACUGACCCCCUCCGUGCCGCAGUUAACACAAUAAGUAUUCCACCUGGGGAGUACGGCCGCAAGGUUGAAACUCAAAUGAAUUGGCGGGG
rnacentral:rRNA from 1 species